UACGAAGGGGGCUAGCGUUGCUCGGAAUCACUGGGCGUAAAGCGCACGUAGGCGGAUUGCUAAGUCAGGGGUGAAAUCCUGGAGCUCAACUCCAGAACUGCCUUUGAUACUGGCGAUCUUGAGUCCGGGAGAGGUGAGUGGAACUGCGAGUGUAGAGGUGAAAUUCGUAGAUAUUCGCAAGAACACCAGUGGCGAAGGCGGCGACCUGGGUUGACAUUGACGCUGAGGCGCGAAAGCGUGGGGAGCAAACAGG
rnacentral:rRNA from 1 species